GCUUAUCAAAAAAAAUAAAAAAAUGAAAAACCCUUAGCUUAUUGGAUUUGUCAUGCAUAAAUAAUUUCCUGCUUCACCUUGCUUACUGAACCGUGUUGCUAAGGAUUAAAGACUCAAUAUGAUAGUUCUAGAAUUUUUACCCUCCAUGUUUAACUUGGAAACCAGUUCUUAACUAUUAACCUCAAUCUUUUUAGAUGAUUGAUAAUGAGUUGAAUGCCAAGGCAAUGGCUGCAUAAAUUGCAUUCAAUGAUAUUUGUCUUCUAAACUAUUUAAAUAUUUGAUAUUUCCAGUUCAAGAUGUUAGCUAGGGUUGGCUAUGAUCCCGUUCUAGGCGGUUCCAGUUCUAGGGCUGGAGGCCAAAACCGAAGGGUCCCCCUCGAUUUUGGUUCCGGUCGGGUUUCAAAUUUAGUUCCAGUUCAGUUUGGUUUUGAUCAAAUCUAAUGGUCAAAAUAUCUUUUUCAAUUUUUUUCAUAUUUUUUUAAAAGGGAAAAUUUUCAGUUUUGGCCUGGGAAUGGACUGUUUGGUUCCAGUCUGGUUCAAAUACGGUUUUGGUCAAUUCAGGUUUGACUGUUUUCAGUUCCAAACCAGAUUGUGGCCGGAUCUAGUCUCAGGUGCACAAGCUUUUGGUACUUUUUCUUCUUUUUAUUCUCUGGAAGCUGAAGAAGAUUGUUGUGGAAUAGAUGCCGAGUUUGACACAUCUGUUGUAAUUUGGAAAUCUUAAUCUAUAUGAGCUGGGUGGUAACACAUUUUUAUUUAAUUCAUUCAAUUUGGCUACAUGGUUGAGAAUUGCUCAUUUUUAUUGUGCAAAGAUUUAGCUGUUGGUUUGGACCUGCAUUUCUACAUUUAUGGAAUAGCAAACUUUUAAUAAUAGAAGAAAUUUUAUUGAAUAAAUAAAGGAGAAUACAAAUAAUAUAUCCUCCUGAAUCAAAGUGGAAAAAAGUGACAAAUAAUGUUUUAAGCAUUAUGCAGUAUAUUACGCAAGUUAUAUUUUUUUGUCAGUUAAAAUUUGUGGAUACAUCAGAUCACACUUCUUCUUCACUUCCUUUUUUUGUCAGUUUUUUUUUUGGCAGAGAA
rnacentral:misc_RNA from 1 species